rnacentral:misc_RNA from 1 species
CCUUAAAGAACCUGCCUUUGCAGUGCUCACACAGAUUGUCUGAUGAACGUAAAGAAGCAAGGCGUCUUGCGAUUGAGACUUCAGUGUCCCCUUCGUCUAGAGGCCCAGGACACCGCCCUUUCACGGCGGUAACAGGGGUUCGAAUCCCCUAGGGGACGCCACUUGCUGGUUCGUGAGUGAAAGACGCGUGCCGAACUAUCUCAAAACUCAUCUUCGGGUGACGUUUGAGAUAGUUGCUCUUUAAAAAUCUGGAUCAAGCUGAAAAUUGAAACGACACACAGACAAUGUGUGUUCGAGUCUCUCAAAUUUUCGCGACACGAUGAUGUUUUACGAAACAUCUUCGGGUUGUGA